rnacentral:rRNA from 1 species
GUGAGGAAUAUUGCGCAAUGGAGGCAACUCUGACGCAGCCAUGCCGCGUGCAGGAAGAAGGCGCUACGCGUUGUAAACUGCUUUUAACCGGGAAGAAACCCCAGGACGUGUCCUGGGUUGACGGUACCGGAGGAAUAAGCACCGGCUAACUUCGUGCCAGCAGCCGCGGUAAUACGAAGGGUGCAAGCGUUAUCCGGAUUCAUUGGGUUUAAAGGGUGCGUAGGCGGAGCGUUAAGUCAGUGGUGAAAUCCUGCAGCUUAACUGUAUACUUGCCAUUGAUACUGGCGCUCUUGAGUGCGCUUGAAGUGGGCGGAAUGUGCCGUGUAGCGGUGAAAUGCUUAGAUAUGGCACAGAACACCAAUUGCGAAGGCAGCUCACUAAGGCGAUACUGACGCUGAGGCACGAAAGCGUGGGGAUCGAACAGGAUUAGAAACCCCAGUAGUCC